rnacentral:rRNA from 1 species
GACGAACGCUGGCGGCGUGCUUAACACAUGCAAGUCGAACGCACCUUCGGGUGAGUGGCGGACGGGUGAGUAACGCGUAGGUAAUCUACUCUUCAGUGGGGGAUACCCAGCCGAAAGGUUGGUUAAUACCGCAUACGCUCCUGUGCAGAGAGGUACAGGAGGAAAGGUUUACUGCUGAGGAAUGAGCCCGCGUCCGAUUAGCUAGUUGGUGGGGUAAAGGCUCACCAAGGCGACGAUCGGUAGCUGGUCUGAGAGGACGAUCAGCCACACUGGAACUGAGACACGGUCCAGACUCCUACGGGAGGCAGCAGUGGGGAAUUUUCCGCAAUGGGCGAAAGCCUGACGGAGCAACGCCGCGUGGGUGAUGAAGUUUUUCGGAACGUAAAACCCUUUCGCCAGGGACGAAGCGAGUGACGGUACCUGGAGAAGAAGCAUCGGCUAACUACGUGCCAGCAGCCGCGGUAAU